rnacentral:rRNA from 1 species
GAUGAACGCUAGCUACAGGCUUAACACAUGCAAGUCGAGGGGCAGCAUUUUAGUUUGCUUGCAAACUGAAGAUGGCGACCGGCGCACGGGUGAGUAACACGUAUCCAACCUGCCGAUAACUCCGGGAUAGCCUUUCGAAAGAAAGAUUAAUACCGGAUAGUAUACGAAUAUCGCAUGAUAUUUUUAUUAAAGAAUUUCGGUUAUCGAUGGGGAUGCGUUCCAUUAGUUUGUUGGCGGGGUAACGGCCCACCAAGACUACGAUGGAUAGGGGUUCUGAGAGGAAGGUCCCCCACAUUGGAACUGAGACACGGUCCAAACUCCUACGGGAGGCAGCAGUGAGGAAUAUUGGUCAAUGGGCGCGAGCCUGAACCAGCCAAGUAGCGUGAAGGAUGAAGGCUCUAUGGGUCGUAAACUUCUUUUAUAUGGGAAUAAAGUUUUCCACGUGUGGAAUUUUGUAUGUACCAUAUGAAUAAGGAUCGGCUAACUCCGUGCCAGCAGCCGCGGUAAUACGGAGGAUCCGAGCGUUAUCCGGAUUUAUUGGGUUUAAAGGGAGCGUAGGUGGAUUGUUAAGUCAGUUGUGAAAGUUUGCGGCUCAACCGUAAAAUUGCAGUUGAAACUGGCAGUCUUGAGUACAGUAGAGGUGGGCGGAAUUCGUGGUGUAGCGGUGAAAUGCUUAGAUAUCACGAAGAACUCCGAUUGCGAAGGCAGCUCACUAGACUGUCACUGACACUGAUGCUCGAAAGUGUGGGUAUCAAACAGGAUUAGAUACCCUGGUAGUCCACACAGUAAACGAUGAAUACUCGCUGUUUGCGAUAUACAGUAAGCGGCCAAGCGAAAGCAUUAAGUAUUCCACCUGGGGAGUACGCCGGCAACGGUGAAACUCAAAGGAAUUGACGGGGGCCCGCACAAGCGGAGGAACAUGUGGUUUAAUUCGAUGAUACGCGAGGAACCUUACCCGGGCUUAAAUUGCAACAGAAUAUAUUGGAAACAGUAUAGCCGUAAGGCUGUUGUGAAGGUGCUGCAUGGUUGUCGUCAGCUCGUGCCGUGAGGUGUCGGCUUAAGUGCCAUAACGAGCGCAACCCUUAUCUUUAGUUACUAACAGGUGAUGCUGAGGACUCUAGAGAGACUGCCGUCGUAAGAUGUGAGGAAGGUGGGGAUGACGUCAAAUCAGCACGGCCCUUACGUCCGGGGCUACACACGUGUUACAAUGGGGGGUACAGAAGGCGGCUACCUGGUGACAGGAUGCUAAUCCCAAAAACCUCUCUCAGUUCGGAUCGAAGUCUGCAACCCGACUUCGUGAAGCUGGAUUCGCUAGUAAUCGCGCAUCAGCCAUGGCGCGGUGAAUACGUUCCCGGGCCUUAUACACACCGCCCGUCAAGCCAUGAAAGCCGGGGGUACCUGAAGUACGUAACCGCAAGGAGCGUCCUAGGGUAAAACUGGUAAUUGGGGCU